GGAGUUGUAGCUCAGUGAUAGAGCACUUGCCAAACAAGCAUGAAGCUCUGGGUUCAAUCCCCAGUACUGCA
rnacentral:tRNA from 1 species